AUUAUUUUGGCAGAUAAGUGUGAUAAAUUUAGAAUUUAUAAAUAUAUUUUAGGAAAAUAUAAAUAAUA
rnacentral:tRNA from 1 species